rnacentral:rRNA from 1 species
UACGUAGGGCGCAAGCGUUAUCCGGAAUUAUUGGGCGUAAAGAGCUCGUAGGCGGUUUGUCGCGUCUGCCGUGAAAGUCCGGGCUCAACUCCGGAUCUGCGGUGGGUACGGGCAGACUAGAGUGAUGUAGGGGAGACUGGAAUUCCUGGUGUAGCGGUGAAAUGCGCAGAGUAUCAGGAGGAACACCGAUGGCGAAGGCAGGUCUCCUGGGCAUUAACUGACGCUGAGGAGCGAAAGCAUGGGGAGCGAACAGG